CAGCCUGAACAAAAACCAUCAGAAGAACAGAUGUCAAACAGUGUUCAUAGCGGGAAGAGCGCAGUAAACCACAGCCCAGGCUUCACCUCCAUCUCAGACGGAGUAAUAAAGAUCAAGAAAUAAGUGCAAAAAAAAAAUAAAUUCCUGCUUUGACCUAGAAGUUUCUGGAAAAGCUUUCCAGAAACUUCCUGUCCCUGAGUAGUAACCUGGUUUGCAUGGUUUUCAUGCAGCAAGGUAAGAUUGGAUCCUGCACCUAAAAGCUGUCAAACAUCAACAACCUCUGACACUAAAAGUUAUCCACGGAACAUUUUUCUUCCUUAUAAUUGAAGCUGCAAUCAGCUGAGUUUCAAACUAAACAUUUAUCAUUUUUGACUUCAUCAGUUAAAAUAAAAGUAUUCAAAGGAACUCCAUAAACUCUUCAGACACUCUGAUCCACGUCUCAGUUAUAAAGCAAGGACUCACAGUUUUGCUAAGGGGCUGAUGGGAGCUUUGAGGACCUGUUAGAAACCACGUGGCCCUCGUCUGAUCUCACAGCUCGUCCUUGUUUGGCCUCAGCUGCAUCAGAGCGCCACUUCUCCCCAGGUUCACCAGAGGAAACACCACUGCACAAAAUGCUUUUCCUCCCAGCUGCUGCUCUGUGCUGUCUGUGUUCAGCACUGGUUACCAUGGCAGCAGAACAGCUGAUUCAGGAGCAGUUAUCGCAGACCAGGAGACCUGGUGAAUCAGUCUCCAUCAGCUGUGCAGGAACUGAGUUGUGUAGCAAAAAUACUGUGUACUGGUACCAGAAGAAAGAGAGAGAAGUACUCACAGUGAUUCUGACUGUUAACAGGAACAAUGGUUAUGUUUAUUCAGAUUUCAACCAUCCACAGAAAAAUGAUUUCUCAGCUGUAAGAAAACAGAAUGGCUGUGAGUUGGUAGUUGCAAGAAUUAGCUAUGCUCAUUCAGCCACCUAUUAUUGCUCCUGUUUGAAGUCGGGUACCCACAGUGAAUAAUGAUCUCUGCAGUCUGAACAAAAACCAACAGACUAGCAGAAAUCAGACACCUGAGCACUUUCCUCAUUUCUUUUUCCUUUAAGGUUUUAGAAAUACUUUCAUCUUUUCACUGUAAACAAGUAUAAGUUUGUGCCAGCUUAAUCCUUA